AAUGAACGUUGGCGGCGUGGAUUAGGCAUGCAAGUCGAACGCCCCGCAAGGGGAGUGGCGCAAGGGUGAGUAAGGCGACGGUAACCAACCCCGCGGUUGGGCAUAGCCGAGGGAAACCUCGGGUAAUUCCCAGCGAUGUUCUGGAGUGGCAUCACUCGAGAACCAAAGAUUUAUCGUCGCGGGACGGGCCGUUGUGGUAUUAGCUUGUUGGUGAGGUAACGGCUCACCAAGGCGGCGAUGCCUACCGGGUGUGCGAGCAUGACCCGGCACACUGGGACUGAGACACUGCCCAGACUCCUACGGGAGGCUGCAGUCGAGAAUCUUCGGCAAUGGGCGCAAGCCUGACCGAGCGACGCCGCGUGGAGGACGAAGGCCUUCGGGUUGUAAACUCCUGUCGAGGGGGAGGAAGCUUCGGUUGACCGAUCCCUGGAGGAAGGACGGGCUAAGUUCGUGCCAGCCGCCGCAGUAAAAC
rnacentral:rRNA from 1 species